AACGCGCGAACAUCAGCCCUUUUCUGCCUGCACACCAAAGUGUGCAAUAUGGAGGCCUAGUUCACAACACAGCCGUACACUUGCCAGGCGUUCGGGGAACUUCGGGGAACCUGAUUAAAAUAUUAGAACCAGUGAAUCUUAGGAACCUCACUUUGAAUUUGGGAACUGUAGAAAUACAACCUUUGUGAUUUAAUAUAUUUUAUCAUUGGCAACUGUGUCACAAUUUAUAGAGCUAGAAACUGAAUGUAUUAUCUGAUCAAUACUUUUUGUAACAGUUGUUUUUGUGAGUUUAAAUUGAGAUCAUGUGUUAAUUUAAACUAUUGUAAUCGAUUUUUGUGAACAAGUUCAUGAGACCAAGCAUAA